AAAAAACUGUGGAAGUCUGUUCGAGACAAUCAGAAUCGCCUGUAACCAGAAUGAGUGGCGCCUCUUCAUUGACGGCUCAACCAGGAGUCUCAAAGCCGUGCUGCUCCAUAAUGCAGGGACACCAAGGCGCACCACCACAGGUGGGGCUGGCCACAGCGGACCGAGUUCUCUGUGGGGAGGAACAACGUCAAGUGGGAGCCACUGGUGGACACCCGGAAGGUGCUUAUGCCACCACUGCACAUCAUAUUGGGCCUUAUGAAACAAUUUGUCAGAGCUGUAGAUUAGGAGUCGGCAGCCUUCAAUUACCUUCAAGACUUCUUCCCUAAGCCGUCUGAGGAAAAGGUCAAAGCCGGUGUCUUUAUCGGACCACAUAAAGAAGAUCCUGGAGUGCAAUUAAUUCCCCAAGAAGCUUACUAGUAAGGAGAAAGCGGCUUGGAACAGCUUUGCCGCAGUGGUUCGUGGCUUCCUGGGCAAUCAUAAUGUCGACAACUAUGCGGAGCUGGUUGAGACUGGUGAAGAACUACGGCACAAUGGGCUGUAGGAUGUCCCUCAAAGUCCAUAUCCUUGAGGCUCAUCUUGAUAAAUUCAAGAAGAACAUGGGAGCGUACUCGGAGGAGCAAGGCGAGUGCUUCCACCAGGAUAUACUGGACUUUGAACGCCGCUACCAAGGACAGUUUUACGAGAACAUGAUGGGAGACUACAUUUGGGGGCUGAUUCGUGAAAGUGAUUUACAGUAUAAUCGUAAAUCUCUAAAAACUACUCGCUUCGAAAUUUUUUGUAGUCACUUUUGUAUUACUUGAGUAUAAAUACAUGUUAAUUUUGA